CACGACCCCCCGUCCGCCAGAAAAUUACGAGCAAGACCUCCCCUUUAGCCUAAAACUCAAAAGACUUGACGGUGUCCCAAUCUACCUAGAGGAGCCUGUUACAUAAUCGAUAACCCACGAUCAACCCAACCACCCCUCGAAUAUAACAUCAGCCUAUAUACCGCCGUCACCAGCCCACCUUUUAAAAGAAAUAAAGUAGGCACAAUAGUCUAUUACUAAUACGUCAGGUCAAGGUGUAGCCCAUGAGGUGGUGCCAAUGGGCUACAUUAUCUCCCACAGAUCACCCACGAACUAUUUUUUGAUAUAAUUAUACAAAGGCGGAUUUAGCAGUAAACUAGGUCAGAAUACUUAAUUUAACACCUGCGCUGGGACA
rnacentral:rRNA from 1 species